AACGCACAUUGCGCCCGCUGGUAUUCCGGCGGGCAUGCCUGUUCGAGCGUCAUUUCAACCCUCAAGCCUAGCUUGGUGUUGGAGCACUACCUGUCACAGGGUAGGCUCUGAAAUUUAGUGGCGGGCUCGCUAGAAUUUUGAGCGUAGUAAUUUUUAUACCUCGUUUGUAAAGACUAGCGGUGCUUUUCUUGCCGUAAAACCCCCCAACUUUCUGAAAAUUGACCUCGGAUCAGGUAGGAAUACCCGCUGAACUUAA
rnacentral:misc_RNA from 1 species